AACUGGUGCUGAGUGGGCCUGGAGCUUCCGAGAACCUAAAGGCAGAUCCAGAAGAGCUUUUUACAAAACUAGAGAAAAUUGGGAAGGGCUCCUUUGGAGAGGUGUUCAAAGGCAUUGACAAUCGGACUCAGAAAGUGGUUGCCAUAAAGAUCAUUGAUCUGGAAGAAGCUGAAGAUGAGAUAGAGGACAUUCAACAAGAAAUCACAGUGCUGAGUCAGUGUGACAGUCCAUAUGUAACCAAAUAUUAUGGAUCCUACCUGAAGGAUACAAAAUUAUGGAUAAUAAUGGAAUAUCUUGGUGGAGGCUCCGCACUAGAUCUAUUAGAACCUGGCCCGUUAGAUGAAACCCAGAUCGCUACUAUAUUAAGAGAAAUACUGAAAGGACUCGAUUAUCUCCAUUCGGAGAAGAAAAUCCACAGAGACAUUAAAGCGGCCAAUGUCCUGCUAUCUGAGCAUGGUGAGGUGAAGCUGGCGGACUUUGGUGUGGCCGGCCAGCUGACGGACACCCAGAUCAAAAGGAACACCUUCGUGGGCACCCCGUUCUGGAU
rnacentral:sRNA from 1 species